GACGAACGCUGGCGGCGUGCUUAACACAUGCAAGUCGAGCGAGAAACCUUCGGGUUUCUAGCGGCGGACGGGUGAGUAACACGUGGGUAACCUGCCUCAAAGAGGGGGAUAGCCUUCCGAAAGGAAGAUUAAUACCGCAUAAUAUUACAGUUUCGCAUGAAGCAGUACUUAAAGGAGUAAUCCGCUUUGCGAUGGACCCGCGGCGCAUUAGCUAGUGGGAGAGGUAACGGCUCACCAAGGCAACGAUGCGUAGCCGACAUGAGAGGGUGAUCGGCCACAUUGGAACUGAGACACGGUCAGGACUCGUACGGGAGGCAGCGGUGGGGAAAAUUGCACAAUGGGCGAAAGCCUGAUGCAGCAACGCCGCGUGAGUAAUGAAGGUCGUCGGAUUGUAAAGCUCUGUCUUUUGGGACGAUAAUGACGGUACCAAAGGAGGAAGCCACGGCUAACUACGUGCCAGCCGCCGCCGUAA
rnacentral:rRNA from 1 species